UCAAAACCUCGUCGGAGUAGUUUAGUGAGCAAUGGGUUGUCAAAACCUUGCCUGAGUAGUUUGGUGCGCCAGAGGUGGAGUAGUUUAGUGAGCAAUGGGUUAUCAAAACCUUGCCAGAGUAGUUUGGUGAGCCAGAGGUUGGGUUUUGAGAGGAAACUCUUUCUCAAAAUCAAAUUAGGUGGUAAAGACGAAAAAAUAGAUAUGCA
rnacentral:lncRNA from 1 species